GGCUCCUUUUGCAAGCUUUCGCUUUAGAUGGUGGAAAGGAGUGAGUGAGUGGUUGCUCCUCUGACUGGGAGGGCUUAGUGGGGACCCCGGUGUCAGAGACUCUGCAGAGAUCACUGCAACUUAUGUCCGGCUCUGCUUUGUCCCUUUCCUGGGAACCAACUGCCUCUAGGAGAUGAGGAAUUUGUGGCCCCAGCAUUGGACUCAGAGGCAGAGGACUGGGUUAUGUGAGCAGCUUGGGGCAGGUGUAAAUUCUGAGGGCAUUAUUUGUGGUCUUCUGGGGUCCUUUUGACUCUGAAAUUUCUCCAGCUCUGUGUUUAGAGAUGCUCCAGGAAGUCACAGCCUUUCAUAGGUGGGAGAACAGAGAAGAAGCUCUAAAGAUAUGGAAGGGCGCUGCAGUCGCUCCUUGCUCUGCUGUCUCGCUUCCCUGCUUCUCCUUGUCCAGCUGUCCACAGAGCAAUUCCAGGUCAUUGGCCCUCGACACCCCAUUUUGGCAGUGCUGGGUGAGGAUGUCAUACUUCCCUGCACCCUAGUUCCAGCCAUGAAUGCAGAGAACAUGGAACUUGGGUGGUUCCGCACCACAUUCUCACAAACAGUGUUCAUCUACUGGAACCAUUGGGAACAGACUGAGGAGCAGAUGGCUGAGUACAGAGGGCGGACUUCAUUGGUGAGGGGCUGCCUUACUGAGGGGCAUGCUGCCAUGCUCCUCCGCCAGGUCCGGGUUUCUGACAAUGGAAUGUACACCUGCUUCUUCAGACAUGGAGGCUUCUAUGAAGAGGCUGAUUUGGAAGUGAAGGUGGCAGGUUAGUUACUUGAUGUCUAUUCUGGAGACCUUGGGAAUAUUGGGUUUGAUGGGAAUAUCAAGGAUCAUCUAAUUUAACCUAACAUUUUAUAGGUGAAGUGGAGAAAAAAGUGGCUCAUCUUUUAUUAAUUGAUUCAAUACAAACACUGUAUAGGGAGCAUCUAAAAUAUUUUGGGACUUGUCCUGUGCACCAGAGAUAUAUCAGUGUAAUAGAGAUCCCAGCCAUGAGGAGUUUACAUUCUAGAGACAAAGGAAGAAAAAUUAUAAGAAAUAAUUCAGUACAAGAUGGCAUAAGAUGAUAAGUACUUAAGACAAAAGACCAAGUAGAUUUAAGAAAGGGGCUCAGGAUGUGGGCUGGGAAUUUAGGACAAUCCAUAGUGUUACAUAGGGAAUUGGGCAGAGUCUUAUUGACAGUCUAAACAAGGCUCAAAGGAAGUAGGUAUUUAGCCAGGUGGAUAUCUGUGGGGCCAGAGUUUAAUGCAGAGGGAGCACCUGCUAUGAAACCUUUGAAGUAGGAGUUUGGUUGAUUAUUCUGGGUAUAAUGAGGCCAUCAUGGUUGGUAGGAGGAGUGAAGAGAGGAUGGUAAGAAGUGGCAAUACUGGAAUAAAGAGAUGGUCCUGUAUUAACACCACUGUCAGGUGUCAGGAUGAGGUCAUUAGGAGUAGACACCUGGGCUGGCACAAGAGCCCUGGAUGUUGAUGGGCUGGAAUGUAAAACGGCAGAGGGCAUACAAUAUGGUGAUUGUGGCUACUUGCAUUUGACUAAAUAGUUCUUGGGGUUGAGUGUAAGGGCUCUGAGGAUCUCAGAUGGUGGAGUUUGGGGACAAGUGUUCAGAGAGGAAGACAGUUACUGGAUCAGUAAAGGCUUUCUGUGCUGUGUUAUGGAGUUUGGUUGCAGAGUAGGGGGAAUCCUAAACAGAGCCAAGCUGGGAAUGCUCAUGUUGGCAGUUUGAAUGGAUGAAUGGGAGGUGAGCAAGAAGGAGGCUUGGAGUGCAUUUGUGAUGUGGAGAGAAUGAUUGCCUGACCUGAGGCAUGGUAGUGGGGUGGGAGAGGAGGAGUCAGGUUUAGAAACCAGAUUCAACUAAACAGAUUUGUGGGCACAAAGUUUGGAAGGGGAAGAGAAGUGUUCAGAGACUUCCAGUGUUUUAUUUGAACCAUUGUUGUUUCAUGGCAGGACUAUUGAUAAUUAUGUGUCAGUUCUACUGCUGUAAUAAUGCUGUGUAACAAACAGCCACAAUCUCAGGUGAUUUGGC